GACGAACGCUGGCGGCGUGCUUAACACAUGCAAGUCGAACGGAAAGGCCCUGCUUUUGUGGGGUGCUCGAGUGGCGAACGGGUGAGUAACAAGUGAGUAACCUGCCCUUGACUUUGGGAUAACUUCAGGAAACUGGGGCUAAUACCGGAUAGGAGCUCCUGCUGCAUGGUGGGGGUUGGAAAGUUUCGGCGGUUGGGGAUGGACUCGCGGCUUAUCAGCUUGUUGGUGGGGUAGUGGCUUACCAAGGCUUUGACGGGUCGCCGGCCUGGGAGGGUGGCCGGGCACAUUGGGACUGAGAGACGGCCCAGACUCCAACGGGAGGCAGCAGGGGGGAAUAUUGCACAAUGGGCGGAAGCCUGAUGCAGCAACGCCGCGUGCGGGAUGACGGCCUUCGGGUUGUAAACCGCUUUCGCCUGUGACGAAGCGUGAGUGACGGUAAUGGGUAAAGAAGCACCGGCUAACUACGUG
rnacentral:rRNA from 1 species